rnacentral:rRNA from 1 species
AUUGAACGCUGGCGGCAUGCCUUACACAUGCAAGUCGAACGGUAACAGGUCUUCGGAUGCUGACGAGUGGCGAACAGGUGAGUAAUACAUCGGAACGCGCCUAGUAGUGGGGGAUAACUACUCGAAAGAGUGGCUAAUACCGCAUGAGAUCUACGGAUGAAAGCAGGGGAUCGCAAGACCUUGUGCUACUAGAGCGGCCGAUGGCAGAUUAGGUAGUUGGUGGGAUAAAAGCUUACCAAGCCGACGAUCUGUAGCUGGUCUGAGAGGACGAUCAGCCACACUGGGACUGAGACACGGCCCAGACUCCUACGGGAGGCAGCAGUGGGGAAUUUUGGACAAUGGGCGAAAGCCUGAUCCAGCAAUGCCGCGUGCAGGAUGAAGGCCUUCGGGUUGUAAACUGCUUUUGUGCGGAACGAAAAGCCCCGGGUUAAUACCCUGGGGUCAUGACGGUACCGUAAGAAUAAGCACCGGCUAACUACGUGCCAGCCGCCGCGGUAA